UGGGGAAUAUUGCACAAUGGGCGCAAGCCUGAUGCAGCCAUGCCGCGUGUGUGAAGAAGGCCUUCGGGUUGUAAAGUACUUUCAGCGGGGAGGAAGGGAGUAAAGUUAAUACCUUUGCUCAUUGACGUUACCCGCAGAAGAAGCACCGGCUAACUCCGUGCCAGCAGCCGCGGUAAUACGGAGGGUGCAAGCGUUAAUCGGAAUUACUGGGCGUAAAGCGCACGCAGGCGGUUUGUUAAGUCAGAUGUGAAAUCCCCGGGCUCAACCUGGGAACUGCAUUCGAAACUGGCAGGCUAGAGUCUUGUAGAGGGGGGUAGAAUUCCAGGUGUAGCGGUGAAAUGCGUAGAGAUCUGGAGGAAUACCGGUGGCGAAGGCGGCCCCCUGGACGAAGACUGACGCUCAGGUGCGAAAGCGUGGGGAGCAAACAGG
rnacentral:rRNA from 1 species